GACGAACGCUGGCGGCGUGCUUAACACAUGCAAGUCGAACGGAAAGGCCCUGCUUGCAGGGUACUCGAGUGGCGAACGGGUGAGUAACACGUGGGUGAUCUGCCCUGCACUUCGGGAUAAGCCUGGGAAACUGGGUCUAAUACCGGAUAGGAGCCAUUUUUAGUGUGAUGGUUGGAAAGUUUUUUCGGUGUAGGAUGAGCUCGCGGCCUAUCAGCUUGUUGGUGGGGUAAUGGCCUACCAAGGCGGCGACGGGUAGCCGGCCUGAGAGGGUGGACGGCCACAUUGGGACUGAGAUACGGCCCAGACUCCGACGGGAGGCAGCAGUGGGGAAGAGUGCACAAUGGGCGCAAGCCUGAUGCAGCGACGCAGCGUGGGGGAUGACGGCCUUCGGGUUGUAAACUCCUUUCGCUAGGGACGAAGCUUUUUGUGACGGUACCUAGAUAAGAAGCACCGGCUAACUACGUG
rnacentral:rRNA from 1 species